UAGUAACGGCGAGUGAAGCGGGAUGAGCUCAAGCUUAAAAUCUCCGUGCACGUUGUGCGCGGCGAAUUGUAGUCUAUAGAUGCGUGAUCAGCGCGGGCGCUCGGGGUAAGUUCCUUGGAAGAGGACAGCAUGGAGGGUGAUACUCCCGUUUGUACCUGAGUGUUUUGCGCGUACGGUCCGUGUUCUUUGAGUCGCGUUGUUUGGGAAUGCAGCGCAAAGUAGGUGGUAAAUUCCAUCUAAAGCUAAAUAUUGGUGCGAGACCGAUAGCGAACAAGUACCGUGAGGGAAAGAUGAAAAGAACUUUGAAAAGAGAGUUAAAGAGUACCUGAAACUGCUGAAAGGGAACCGAAUCGUUUCCAGUGUCUAUAAUCUGCGGCAUAUUUCAUGUGCGAGUGCGCGCGUUUCGGCUUUGUGGCAGUGGUCUUUUGUCUGCGCCCGUUGCUGUUUGUGCGUGUGGUUGCGUGUGCCCUGUGCUGUGGUGGGACGUCAAGGUGAGUUCGAAUGCUGCGGGAAAUGGCCGUCGGGGAGGUAGGUCUUAAGCUCUGCUUUUGGCUAUUAUAUCUCGGCGGUUGAGUCGUCGCGGUUGGGACUGAGGUGCCUACAACGUGCUUUUGAGCGCGUGCGUGUCUCUGUGCUUGCGUUGUGCGGAUAGCUUGCUAUGCGCGUGGCGUUGCGUGCGGAUGGAUAUGCGCUGCUGCUUGUUGCCGUUCGGGACUUUGACGAAAUGGCGCGAUCCGACCCGUCUUGAAACACGGACCAAGGAGUCUAACACGCGUGCAAGUGUUUUGGUGUGGAAACCAUAACGCGCAAUGAAAGUAAAGGGCGCCUUACGGUGUCUGAGGUAGGAAAGCUUGUCGUUUGUGGCGGGCUGGCACUAUCGACCGAUCAUGAGCCUUCGUGGCGAAAGAUUUGAGUUUGAGCACGUGUGUUGGUACCCGAAAGAUGGUGAACUAUGCCUGAGUAGGGUGAAG
rnacentral:rRNA from 1 species